UCUCGAUUGGUCUAGUGGUUAGGAUACCUGCUUGUCAUCGAAUUCACCAUGCGCAGGUGGCCGGGGUUCGAUUCCCCGAUCGAGAG